UACCUGAAUGCUGUUGCUGUGUGCUGAUGGUGCAGGUGUGAGCUGCCCAGCCCUGCCAGGGCUCUUAAUACAGCACACUGACUCCGCCCCCUCGAUCGCUGUCAUGGGAGUGUCUGCCAGGGCUCUUAAUACAGCACACUGACUCCGCCCCCUCGAUCGCUGUCAUGGGAGUGUCUGCCAGGGCUCUGUUAAUACAGCACACUGACUCCGCC